AUGGUUGAUUCGAGCGCGGGAGGGAAGAUGAGCGCGCACGGCGGCGGCGGCGGCGGGAGAACGCGGGUGGGGAGGUACGAGCUGGGGAGGACGCUGGGGGAAGGGACGUUCGCCAAGGUCAAGUUCGCCAGGAACGUCGAGACCGGCGAGAAUGUCGCCAUCAAGAUCCUCGACAAGGACAAGGUCCUCAAGCACAAGAUGAUCGCGCAGAUAAAGCGCGAGAUCUCCACCAUGAAGCUCAUCAGGCACCCCAACGUCAUCCGCAUGUACGAGGUGAUGGCCAGCAGGACAAAGAUAUACAUAGUCAUGGAGCUUGUCACAGGUGGCGAACUUUUCGACAAAAUCGCUUCGCGUGGGAGGCUCAAAGAGGACGACGCCAGGAAAUAUUUCCAGCAGCUCAUCAACGCUGUCGACUACUGCCAUAGCAGAGGUGUCUAUCACCGUGAUCUCAAGCCUGAAAAUCUUCUGCUUGAUGCUAACGGUACUCUCAAGGUGUCCGAUUUUGGACUCAGCGCCCUAUCGCAGCAAGUCAGAGAGGACGGGCUGUUGCAUACGACUUGUGGAACUCCCAAUUAUGUUGCUCCCGAGGUUAUAAACAACAAAGGUUAUGACGGAGCCAAGGCUGAUCUGUGGUCAUGUGGGGUGAUUCUCUUUGUCCUCAUGGCAGGCUACCUUCCGUUUGAAGAUUCAAAUCUCAUGGCGCUUUACAAGAAGAUAUACAAAGCAGACUUCAGUUGCCCAUCUUGGUUCUCGACGAGCGCGAAGAAGCUCAUCAAGAAGAUACUAGAUCCUAAUCCUAACACUAGAAUAACUAUUGCUGAGGUUAUUAACAAUGAGUGGUUCAAGAAAGGAUAUCAGCCUCCUAGGUUUGAGACAGCAGAAGUUAAUCUGGAUGACAUUAACUCUAUUUUCAACGAAUCUGGGGACCCAGCACAGCUUGUUGUCGAGAGACGUGAAGAAAGACCGGCAGUGAUGAAUGCAUUCGAGUUGAUCUCUACCUCCCAGGGCCUCAAUCUUGGCACACUUUUUGAGAAGCAAACGGAUUCUGUUAAACGUGAAACACGGUUUGCGUCGAGGCUUCCAGCAAACGAAAUAUUGUCGAAAAUUGAAGCAGCAGCAGGACCCAUGGGCUUCAAUGUACAGAAGCGCAACUACAAGCUCAAGUUGCAAGGAGAGAAUCCUGGAAGGAAAGGUCAGCUGGCAAUUGCAACAGAGGUUUUUGAAGUGACACCCUCACUCUACAUGGUGGAGCUCCGCAAGUCGAAUGGCGAUACCCUCGAAUUCCACAAGUUUUACCAUAGUAUCUCGAAUGGCCUGAAGGACGUCAUGUGGAAGCCAGAGGGUAGCAUAGCCGAAGGUGACGAGACCCGGCACCGGAGGUCUCCGUGA
rnacentral:rRNA from 1 species